ensembl:snoRNA small nucleolar RNA, C/D box 113-7
UGGAUCAAUGAUGAGUAUGCGUGAGGCAUCUGAACCAAGUCCUCUGAUUAAACUGUCUGUAACUCUGAGGUCUUU